rnacentral:sRNA from 1 species
UCUGCAGAGAGAAUGCUAUACGAGGUGG